rnacentral:rRNA from 1 species
AAUGAACGUUGGCGGCGUGGAUUAGGCAUGCAAGUCGCGCGACAAGGAACCUUCGGGUUCUGGAGGAGCGGCAAACGGGGUAGUAAGGCAUCGGAACGUACCCUCUUGUUGGGAAUAGCCGCGGGAAACUGCGAGUAAUGCCCAAUAAUCCCUACGGGGCAAAGGUCCGCCGCAGGAGGAGCGGCCGAUGUGAUACCAGCUAGUUGGUGAGGUAAUGGCUCACCAAGGCUUAGACGUCUAGGGGGUGUGAGAGCAUGGCCCCCACCACUGGGACUGAGAUACUGCCCAGACACCUACGGGUGGCUGCAGUCGAGAAUCUUCGGCAAUGGGCGCAAGCCUGACCGAGCAACGCCGCGUGCGGGAUGAAGGCCCUUGGGUUGUAAACCGCUGUCAGGGGGGA